GUCGUCCAGCGUGGUGCCAGGGGUGGUCGUCGUCCGGGAGGAGGUCGCCGCAGCGUGCCCAGCCGUCCCGGAGGUGCCAGCGAGACCUUCACCAGCCCGUGUGACCGUGUCCGCCUCCGGGCCCAGACCAGCGGUGCAGCAGGUGGAGGCGACAGCUCAGGAGUCG